UGGAGAGUCCCCUUCAAAAUCUCCACCAGCAUCGAAGUUUUUGCUGCAAGACAAAGACUGGUUUCCUGUCUACGGUCCUUAUCAAUGUCUUCUCUUUCUGGAACAUGUGAAUCGGUUGCAGAAAUGUGUGUCAGCAGCGAACUAAGCCUCCAAGCUUCAAGGAGGUUUCUUACAAAAGUCGUCUGGAGCGGCUUUCUUGCUCAGUCCUGCCGAGAUUUUAAAAUUGUGCAACAAAAUAUAUUCUCCAGUUGACGGUGUGUACAUCAUGGCUCUCCAGUGGGAGAUUCUGCCUAUAAGGGAAUCUGGGGUCCUCCUGUGGCUCAGCUGGCAAAGAAUCCACCUGUAAUACAAGAGACCUGGGUUUGACCCCUGGACUGGGAAGAUCCCCCGGAGAAGGGAACAGCUACCCACUUCAGUAUUCUGGCCUGGAGAAUUCCAUGGAUUGUAUAGUCCAUGGGGUCACAAAGAGUCACACACGACUGAGAUACUUUCACAUAUAAGGGAUAUCAUAUGAUAGCUCUCUUUCUCUGUCUGACUUACUUCACCCAGUAUCCAACAUAUGAGUUUGGGGAGGACAAAAUUUAGUCCUCUUUUCAUCCCUGAGAACCUCCCCUUGGGACCUGACAUGAUGGAAGUUUUUUGUUAGUUGAUUUUGUGAAUAUGAUUCAGUCUGGUUUUGAGUCUACAUUAAAGGUGCUUCUAUAUAGGAAAACCUCCAUCGAUUUGCUUUAGCUUCAAGUCCUUGUACCCAGGAGGAGAAGUCAGGUGUACCAGCAGCAGUUAAUCAUCUUUGUGAUUCUUCUGUAUGGUAAUAAUAAUGGAGGUUUUCUUUUAACAACUGCAUAAGAGAUACCAGGUGCCAUCUUAAGAAGUCAGUAUCUUGAAGCACUUUAUCGUAUCUUUUCAUCUUCUUGAGAACCUAUGAUGGAUGGGGCUGUAUUUAUUUUUACUUCCAUUUUGUAGAUGAGGAAACUCAGGUUACAGAAGCCGAGUGAUUUGCUCAAGAGGACACAACUAGGAAAUGACUCAGUCUGUAUUUGAACUGAGUACAAACUCCAAAGAACUCUUCUGACCACAUUCUUUUGUCCCCCAUUUGGCCAGGACACUUUUACUUCCAGAAACAUCAGUCCACAAUCACCAAGAAUAAUGGUUCAACACAAUCCUUUAGACGAAUCUCUAGCUGAGAAAGAAGCUGAUUCAUUUCGAUUGAGUUCUUGCUUCCAUACAGAUUUAUCUUAUUCAUUUUUGAGGCCAUGGGACACCUUUCUGAAAAGUCACUCAUAACUUAAAAACAUUUGGCUUUUUAUUAGAUGUUUAGAAGUUUCUGGAAAGAUCCACUUCUGAAAAGAAGCAGUGGAGGAUCAGAACAGUGAUGCUUCCUCAUUCUGUAAUUUCUUUUCAUGGCUGUCCUCUCUCAUCUAUGUGGAGGGGACCCUGAGACAGUUUUAUGGCAUUUUUUUAAAAUGAAAAUUUCCCUCACUUUUCAGAAAUGCAAAGGAAAAACGAUCACAGAAAAUGUUUUUCUUUUCUUUCUCAGUUCUGUGU